AUGCUGCUGCUGCUGAAGAGAGAGAAGGAUAAGAGAGAGAAGGAGAAGAGAGAGGGGGAAGCAGAGAGAGCGAGAAAGAGAGAGAGAGAGCGAGAGAGAGCGAGAGAGAGAGAGAGAGAGAGAGAGAGAGAGAGAGAGAGAGAGAGAGAGAGAGAGAGAGAGAGAGAGAGAGAGAGAGACUGCAGCAACCGACAUGGAGCUCGAGCCUUUCCGGAGGAAAGCGAGCAUCCUCUAAUCUGCCAGGAUCACGGUAGAAUACAUUGACACCUUAGACAACAGACAACACUUCUAUAUCACCAUGAGGAACUGCUGACACCCCCCCCCCCUCACCUGACUACCAGAGAGAAGACACAUUCUUCCUUCCAUCAUCUCUCCCACUCCGCCCAUCUUCACAAGGAUAAGCGUUAUUUUCGAGAGUGGAAAAAGUGACCGUCAAAAGCUGAAGCCCUCUCUUGACACUUGACCUCUAACCACUGACCUGUGACCUCAGUAUGUCAGGUCUGCGUGGUAAGCUGCAGCGUGUCCAGUGGCGGGCAGGAUGGCACUCCUUCACCUCCAGAGUCCUCAGGACCAAACCAGUAGAGAGCAUGUUGGACUCUGGGACAGGUGGUACCAGCAGCCAUGGCACCAAACUAGCGAGGGUGUUGUCCACGGUAGACCUGGUGUCACUAGGGGUGGGAAGCUGCGUUGGCACGGGGAUGUACGUGGUCUCUGGGCUGGUUGCUAAGGAGAUGGCCGGACCUGGCGUCAUCGUCUCCUUCAUCAUCGCUGCUGUCGCCUCUAUCCUGUCAGGAGUGUGUUAUGCUGAAUUUGGGGUUCGCGUUCCCAAGACAACAGGCUCAGCCUACACCUACAGCUACGUGACAGUGGGGGAGUGUGUGGCCUUUUUCAUUGGCUGGAACCUGAUCCUGGAGUACUUGAUUGGCACAGCCGCGGGGGCGUCGGCUCUCAGCAGCAUGGCGGACUCACUAGCCAAUAAAAGCAUCUCUACGUUUAUGACUACACACAUCGGAACACUCAACGGCCUGGGUAAAGGAGAGCAGUCGUACCCAGACCUCCUGGCCCUGCUGAUAGCAGUAAUAGUGACAGUGAUCGUGGCCCUGGGGGUGAAGAACUCAGUAGGGUUUAAUAAUGUGUUGAAUGUGAUCAACCUGAUGGUGUGGGUCUUCAUGAUGGUGGCCGGACUCUUCUUCGUCAACGGACACAACUGGGACGAUGGAAUGUUCUUACCCUUCGGGUGGUCAGGGGUGAUGCAGGGAGCAGCAACAUGUUUCUAUGCCUUCAUAGGGUUUGACAUAAUCGCUACUACAGGAGAGGAAGCCAAGAGUCCCAACACCUCUAUACCCUAUGCUAUUACUGUUUCCCUCAUCACCUGCCUCACUGCAUACGUCUCUGUAUCAGUGAUUCUGACUCUGAUGGUUCCCUAUACAGAGAUCGAUGCAGACGCUCCUCUGAUGGAGAUGUUUGCUGUACAUGGCUGUUAUUUUGCUAAGUACAUAGUAGCAGUAGGCUCUGUAGCUGGCCUGUCUGUCAGUCUCCUGGGCUCUCUGUUCCCCAUGCCACGAGUCAUCUACGCUAUGGCUGGAGACGGACUGCUGUUCAGGUUCCUGGCCCAUGUGUCUCCCUACACUGAGACUCCAGCGGUGGCAUGUGUUGUGUCUGGCUGUCUGGCUGCUCUCCUCUCUCUCCUCGUCUCCCUACGAGAUCUCAUAGAGAUGAUGUCCAUAGGAACACUACUGGCUUACACACUGGUUAGUGUGUGUGUGUUGUUGCUACGCUACCAGCCAGAAUCAGACAUCCACGGCUUUGUGAACUUCCUGUCUGAGGAGCAGUCCAAUAAGAAGAAGGAGGGCGUGUUAGCUGAGUGUGAGAAGGAAGUGUGUUCUCCAAUCAGUGAAGCAGAUGACUACGGAGGACCUCAAACUAACACCUGUGGAGCGAAGAAUCUCCCCUCGCUAGGUGACAACGAGAUGCUGAUUGGUAAACCAGAUAAAACCACUUACACUGCCAGCCACCCAAACUACGGCACCGUCGACAUGGGCUCCGGCAUCGAAUCAGAAGAGUCGGAGGGCGGGAUGUCGUGGAGGCUGAAGAAGCUGAUUGGUCCGCGGUACUACACCAUGAGGAUCCGAUUGGGCCUGCCUGGGAAGAUGGACCGGCCCACUCCGGCAACGGGAAAGACAGUUACUGUCUGUGUCCUCCUCCUCUUCCUCGUCGUAUUCAUCUUCAACUCCUUCAUCAUCUUCGGAGCGGCCAGCAUCGGUGAUGGCAGCUGGUGGGCUCUUCUCCUGCUGAUCUUCCUGGUCAUCUUCAUGGCCCUCCUCAUCGUCAUCAUCCUGCAGCAGCCAGAGAACCCGAAGCGACUGCCCUACAUGGCUCCGGCUGUUCCCUGGGUUCCUGCUGCUGCCAUGCUGGUCAACAGCUACCUGAUGUUAAAACUGUCUGCCAUCACCUGGAUACGCUUCGCUGUCUGGUGUUUCCUAGGUAUCCUGAUCUACUU